rnacentral:rRNA from 1 species
CAGCAGCCACGGGAAUACGUAGGCCCCGAGCGUUGUCCGGAUUUAUUGGGCGUAAAGCGAGCGCAGGCGGUUAGAUAAGUCUGAAGUUAAAGGCUGUGGCUUAACCAUAGUACGCUUUGGAAACUGUUUAACUUGAGUGCAAGAGGGGAGAGUGGAAUUCCAUGUGUAGCGGUGAAAUGCGUAGAUAUAUGGAGGAACACCGGUGGCGAAAGCGGCUCUCUGGCCUGUAACUGACGCUGAGGCUCGAAAGCGUGGGGAGCAAACAGGAUUAGAUACCCCCGUAGUCCCUGUCUCUUAUACA